CUGCCUGUAAGACUGGGAUAACUCCGGGAAACCGGGGCUAAUACCGGAUGGUUGUCUGAACCGCAUGGUUCAGACAUAAAAGGUGGCUUCGGCUACCACUUACAGAUGGACCCGCGGCGCAUUAGCUAGUUGGUGAGGUAACGGCUCACCAAGGCGACGAUGCGUAGCCGACCUGAGAGGGUGAUCGGCCACACUGGGACUGAGACACGGCCCAGACUCCUACGGGAGGCAGCAGUAGGGAAUCUUCCGCAAUGGACGAAAGUCUGACGGAGCAACGCCGCGUGAGUGAUGAAGGUUUUCGGAUCGUAAAGCUCUGUUGUUAGGGAAGAACAAGUGCCGUUCAAAUAGGGCGGCACCUUGACGGUACCUAACCAGAAAGCCACGGCUAACUACGUGCCAGCAGCCGCGGUAAUACGUAGGUGGCAAGCGUUGUCCGGAAUUAUUGGGCGUAAAGGGCUCGCAGGCGGUUUCUUAAGUCUGAUGUGAAAGCCCCCGGCUCAACCGGGGAGGGUCAUUGGAAACUGGGGAACUUGAGUGCAGAAGAGGAGAGUGGAAUUCCACGUGUAGCGGUGAAAUGCGUAGAGAUGUGGAGGAACACCAGUGGCGAAGGCGACUCUCUGGUCUGUAACUGACGCUGAGGAGCGAAAGCGUGGGGAGCGAACAGGA
rnacentral:rRNA from 9 species